AACGGAUAUCUCGGCUCUCGCCACGAUGAAGAAUGUAGCGAAAUGCGAUACUUAGUGUGAAUUGCAGAAUCCCGUGAAUCAUCAAGUCUUUGAACGCAAGUUGCGCCCGAGGCCUCGGCCAAGGGCACGUCUGCAUGGGCGUCGC
rnacentral:rRNA from 1 species